AGUAACGGCAAGUGAAGCGGCAACAGCUCAAAUUUGAAAUCUGGCUCUUUCAGAGUCCGAGUUGUAAUUUGCAGAGGGCGCUUUGGCUUUGGCAGCGGUCCAAGUUCCUUGGAACAGGACGUCACAGAGGGUGAGAAUCCCGUACGUGGUCGCUAGCUAUUGCCGUGUAAAGCCCCUUCGACGAGUCGAGUUGUUUGGGAAUGCAGCUCUAAAUGGGAGGUAAAUUUCUUCUAAAGCUAAAUAUUGGCCAGAGACCGAUAGCGCACAAGUAGAGUGAUCGAAAGAUGAAAAGCACUUUGGAAAGAGAGUCAAACAGCACGUGAAAUUGUUGAAAGGGAAGCGCUUGCAGCCAGACUUGCUUGCAGUUGCUCAUCCGGGCUUUUGCCCGGUGCACUCUUCUGCAGGCAGGCCAGCAUCAGUUUGGGCGGUGGGAUAAAGGUCUCUGACACGUACCACCUUUCGGGGUGGACAUAUAGGGGAGAUGACAUACCACCAGCCUGGACUGAGGUCCGCGCAUCUGCUAGGAUGCUGGCGUAAUGGCUGUAAGCGGCCCGUCUUGAAACACGGACCAAGGAGUCUAACAUCUAUGCGAGUGUUUGGGUGUCAAGCCCGAGCGCGUAAUGAAAGUGAACGGAGGUGGGAACCCGCAAGGGUGCACCAUCGACCGAUCCUGAAGUUUACGGAAGGAUUUGAGUAAGAGCAUGGCUGUUGGGACCCGAGAGAUGGUGAACUAUGCUUGAAUAGGGUGAAGCCAGAGGAAACUCUGGUGGAGGCUCGCAGCGGUUCUGACGUGCAGAUCGAUCGUCAAA
rnacentral:rRNA from 1 species